rnacentral:misc_RNA from 1 species
GAUGAAGAACGCAGCGAAAUGCGAUAAGUAAUGUGAAUUGCAGAAUUCAGUGAAUCAUCGAAUCUUUGAACGCACAUUGCGCCCAUUAGUAUUCUAGUGGGCAUGCCUGUUCGAGCGUCAUUAAGUCCACUUAAGCCUAGCUUAGUGUUGGGAGACUGCUCCAGUGGUGCUACCCUGUAGCUACCCUGCAGCUCCUUAAAGACAGCGGCGGAGUCGUGUUAUCCUCUGAGCUUAGUAAUCAUUCUAGCUUUCGAGAGUAUCACUUCACCUGCCGUUAAACCACCUAAUUUUUAUGGUUGACCUCGGAUCAGGUAGGAAUACCCGCUGAACUUAAGCAUAUCAAUAAGCGGAGGA